GUGCCAGCCGCCGCGGUAAUACGUAGGUGGCAAGCGUUGUCCGGAAUUACUGGGCGUAAAGCGCGCGCAGGCGGUUUCUUAAGUCUGAUGUGAAAGCCCACGGCUUAACCGGGGAGGGUCAUUGGAAACUGGGAGACUUGAGUGCAGAAGAGGAAAGUGGAAUUCCAAGUGUAGCGGUGAUAUGCGUAGAGACUGUGAGGAACACCAGUGGCGAAGGCGCCUUUCUGGGCUGCAACU
rnacentral:rRNA from 1 species